CCUACGGGAGGCUGCAGUGAGGAAUAUUGGUCAAUGGACGCGAGUCUGAACCAGCCAAGUAGCGUGAAGGAUGACUGCCCUACGGGUUGUAAACUUCUUUUAUAGGGGAAUAAAGGUAUCCACGUGUGGAUAUUUGCAUGUACCCUAUGAAUAAGCAUCGGCUAACUCCGUGCCAGCAGCCGCGGUAAUACGGAGGAUGCGAGCGUUAUCCGGAUUUAUUGGGUUUAAAGGGUGCGUAGGUGGGUUGUUAAGUCAGUGGUGAAAGUUUGUGGCUCAACCGUAAAAUUGCCGGUGAGACUGGCAGACUUGAGUGCAGUUGAGGUAGGAGGAAUUCGUGGUGGAGCGGUGAAAGGCUUAGAUAUCACGAAGAAAUCAGAGUGCGAAGGCAGCGUACUAAACUGCAACUGACAGUGAUGCUCGAAAGUGUGGGUAUCAAACAGGAUUAGAUACCCUAGUAGUC
rnacentral:rRNA from 1 species